rnacentral:misc_RNA from 1 species
CCCACUCACAUGGCUGCUGCAAGGGCAGAGAGGGGAAGGAAGGAAAACGAUGGGUUUAACAAUGGCAGCUUGAGGGGGAGCCUUGUGGAAGCAUGGACAAUGGGAAGCAUGUUUGUGGAGGAACGCAAAACGCACUUGCACGGCUUUCGAGGCGUGUUGGGGGCGGUAAACAAGAGAAUAGAUAUGGGACCGUGCUGUACUGCUGUGUGUGUGUGCAGUGCAGUGCAGUGCAGGAGGAGAGGAAGGAGAGCGCUGAGCAGAAGCCAGCACCAGCAAGGCAGCAAUGCAAAGCAUGCUACUGAAGAGCGC